rnacentral:snRNA from 1 species
AUGUUCACUUCAGCAGCAUCUAUACUAAAAUUGGAACCAUACAGAGAAGAUUAUCAUGGCCCCAUGCAAGGAUGACAUGCAAAUUUGUGAAGUGUUGCAUAUUUUU